UUUUUUUUUUUUUUUUUGAGACAGGGUCUCACUCUGCCACCCAGGCUGGAGUGCAGUGGCACCAUCUUGGCUCACUGCAACCUCCACCUCCUGAGCUCAAGCGCCUCCCACUUCAGUCUACCAAGUAGCUGGGACCACAGGCAUGCACCACCAUGCCCAGCUAAAUUUUGUAUUUUUUGUAGAGACAGGGUUUCACCAUUUUGCCCAGGCUGGUCUCAAACUCCUGGGCUCAAGCAAUCCUCCUGCCUCAGCCUGCCAAAGUGCUGGGAUUACAGGCAUGAGGCAUAGUGCCCAGCCCCAAGCAUAUUCUUAAGCCAUAGUGGAAAGAAUGACCCCAUGACUCCUGGGUUUCUUUGGACCCCUCUUUUUUCCUCCCUCCCACCCGAAAGGACUUUGUUCCAUUCAACCAAACGUCCAAAGAAACACAUGUACAGAGUGUAUACUGUAGUAGCACUGCCAAGCUAAAUGAAUUCAUUCCUUCUCUAGCUCUUACCUACGGGGAGUAGCAAGGACAUUUAGAAUUAGGAGAUUUUCAAGUUGUAUUCAGCCCAGAGAAGUGACAUGGCUGAAUUGAAAGUCCAUUUUAGCAGACAUGGGGCCAGUGCUGAAAUUGUGACUAGCCUCCUAGAAAUGUGACUACAACUAGGCAAAUUGAAGACAGUGCCACAUGCCUCUUUUGCCUUUGUCUAAAUUAGCGGUCCCCAACCUUUUUGGCACCAGGGACCGUUUUCAUGGAAGACAAUUUUUCCACAGAUGGAGGGGGGAUGGGGACGGUUUCGGGAUGAAACUGUCCCACCUCAGAGCAUCAGGCAUUAGCUAGAUUCUCGUAAGGAGUGUGCGACCUAGAUCCCUCACAUGCGCGGUUCACAAUAGGGUUCCUGCUCCUUACGAGAAUCUAAUGCUGCCACUGAUCUGACAAGAGGCAGAGCUCAGGUGGUAAUGCUUGCCUAGCCACCACUCACCUAAUGCUGUGUGGCCCAGUUCCUGACAGUAUUGGUCCAUGGCCUGGGGGUUGGGCAUCCCAGCUCUAAGUGACUCCUCUUUGAAGACAGUUCUGACCUAGGCUGGUCUAGCUCCUUGCUACUCCAUGCGACCCAUAGAUCAGCAGCAUCAGCAUUGCCCAGGAGCUUAUUUGAAAGGCAGAUCUCAGGCCCCAACCCAGACCUGCUGAUGCAGAAUCUGCAUUUCUAAUGAGAUGCCCAGUUAGUUUGUAUGCACAGUAAGAUUUGAGAGGCACCACUCUAGUCACUUACAUUAGAUUGUAUGCUCUCAGUUGUAACCUAAAGAAACUAUUUCACAACUGACCUGGUGCCACUGGCUGCUUGUUUUUGAGUGUAGUGAGACUGCUGUUUACCCACUUUACUGCCGCCACCAGUUGACUGAAGAACAUGGGUAUCAGUGGUGGAAAGGACUUACAGCCAAAAGCUAUGGUCCGCAUGUUUCUGCAAAUUCAUAUGUUGAAAUCCUAACCCCUAAGGUGAUAAUAUUAGGAGGGAGGCUUUGGGAGGUGAUUAGGUCAUGAGACC
rnacentral:lncRNA from 1 species